GCUGAAGGCAGGCACUAAACCCACUGAGCCACCCAGGGAUCCCAAGAAACAGUUUUCAAAUCCAAAAGAUUCUGACUUCAUCAUUCACAGCAAGGGCGGCUCCUUCGGCAGACGUGCCCUGCUGAGCUGCUCCUACGGGGCCCAUCGCAGGUGUUCCCGUUGUCUCCACCCCAAGGUCGUGCAGCAAACCUGCUCUCCAGCAGUCGGGUCCCACCCGUCCCCCUCACGUGUUCCUGAACUACACGCCGAACACCUGCUGGGGGCGGGCCCUUUUCAGGAGGUGGGGAUUCGGUGGCAAACACGGCCCAUUCUCAGGAAUCUUCAAAACGAGUGGGACCCGGAGGGGACCCUCGUAGCCGAGCCCAAGCCCCAGAGCCACGAACGACAGCAGCCCGCCGCGGUCCCAGCCACGCACGGAGUGGGCAGGCCCGGGAGCAACGCUAAGAGGCCGACAGGACCCGUACACGCGACCACCCGGACGCCAGCUUGAGCUGCUACCAAAUGUCUACGACCCUGGGUGAAGGCACAAGACUUCAGUGGAGGAAGUAACUGCAGAUGUGGUGGAAAUAGUAAGAGAAAUAGAAUGAGAAGUGGAGCCUGACAAUGGACCUAAUAGUUGCCAUAUUGUGAUAAAACUAAGAGAUGGGGAGUUGCUUCUUACAGAUGAGCAAAGAAAGUGGCUUCUUGAGAUGGAAACUACUCCUGGUGAAGCUGCUAUAAAGAUUACUGAAACAAAACAAAACAAAACAAAAAACAAAAGAUUACUGAAACAACAACAAAGGACUUCGAAUACUGAAUAAAUUUAGUUGAUAAAGUAGGGGCAGGGUUUGAGAAGACUGAUUCCAAUUUUUUUUUUUUACAUAUUUUAUUUAUUUAUUCAUGAGAGAGAGAGAGAGCGAGAGGCAGAGACACAGGCAGAGGGAGAAGCAGGCUCCAUGCAGGGAGCCCGACGUGGGACUCGAUCUCCGGUCUCCAGGAUCACACCCUGGGCCUAAGGCAGACGCUCAACCACUGAGCCACCCAGGCGUCCCUGAUUCCAAUUUUUAAUUAAGUUCUACUGUGAGUUAAAAUGCCAACCAGCAUCCAUACUACAGAGAAAUGGUUCACAAAAGGAAGAGUCAAUCAAGGCAACAAACUUCACUGCUGCCUCGUUUUAAGAAACUGUGACAACCACCUCAACCUUCAGCAACCAUCAUCCUGACCAGUUGGCAGCCACCAUCAAGGCCUGACCCUCUGCCAGUGAAAAGAUUAUGACUUUCUGAAAGCUCAGAGGAUGCUUAGCCUUUUUCAGCAAUAAAGUUUUUCUUAAUUAA